AGAAUGAACGCUGGCGGCGUGCCUAACACAUGCAAGUCGAGCGAGAAAGUGGCUUCGGCCACGAGUACAGCGGCGAACGGGUGAGUAACACGUGGAUAACCUGUCUGGAAGUGGGGGAUAACUCGGGGAAACCUGAGCUAAUACCGCAUACCCUUUCUGGAUCGAGGUCCAGAUCGGAAAGGUUGCCUCUUCUUCGAAAGCUAUCGCUUCCAGAGGGGUCCGCGCCUGAUUAGCUAGUUGGUGAGGUAAUGGCCCACCAAGGCGACGAUC
rnacentral:rRNA from 1 species